CCUACGGGUGGCAGCAGUGGGGAAUAUUGCACAAUGGGGGAAACCCUGAUGCAGCAACGCCGCGUGAGCGAUGAAGGCCUUCGGAUCGUAAAGAUCUGUUCUAAGGGAAGAAUACUGACGGUACCUUAGGAGGAAGCCACGACUAACUACGGGCCAGCAGCCGCGGUAAUACGUAGGGGGCUAGCGUUAUCCGGAAUUACUCGGCGUAAAGGGUGCGUAGGCGGCACUUCUAGUCAGAGGUGAAAGGCUACGGCUCAACCGUAGUAAGCCUUUGAAACUGUAGGGCUUGAGUGCAGGAGAGGAGAGUGGAAUUCCCAGUGUAGCGGUGAAAUGCGUAGAUAUUGGGGGGAACACCAGUUGCGAAGGCGGCUCUCUGGACUGUAACUGCCGCUGAGGCAAGAAAGCGUGGGGAGCGAACAGGAUUAGAUACCCGAGUAGUC
rnacentral:rRNA from 1 species